rnacentral:rRNA from 1 species
AUGAACGCUGGCGGCGUGCCUAAUACAUGCAAGUCGAGCGAACAGAUAAGGAGCUUGCUCCUUUGACGUUAGCGGCGGACGGGUGAGUAACACGUGGGUAACCUACCUAUAAGACUGGGAUAACUUCGGGAAACCGGAGCUAAUACCGGAUAACAUUUGGAACCGCAUGGUUCUAAAGUGAAAGAUGGUUUUGCUAUCACUUAUAGAUGGACCCGCGCCGUAUUAGCUAGUUGGUAAGGUAACGGCUUACCAAGGCGACGAUACGUAGCCGACCUGAGAGGGUGAUCGGCCACACUGGAACUGAGACACGGUCCAGACUCCUACGGGAGGCAGCAGUAGGGAAUCUUCCGCAAUGGGCGAAAGCCUGACGGAGCAACGCCGCGUGAGUGAUGAAGGGUUUCGGCUCGUAAAACUCUGUUAUUAGGGAAGAACAAAUGUGUAAGUAACUGUGCACGUCCUGACGGUACCUAAUCAGAAAGCCACGGCUAACUACGUG